rnacentral:rRNA from 1 species
UACGUAGGGGGCAAGCGUUGUCCGGAAUUAUUGGGCGUAAAGAGCGCGUAGGCGGUCCGAUAAGUCGGCUGUGAAAGUCAAGGGCUCAACCCUUGAAAGCCGGCCGAUACUGUCGGACUAGAGUCCGGAAGAGGCGAGUGGAAUUCCCGGUGUAGCGGUGAAAUGCGCAGAUAUCGGGAGGAACACCAAUGGCGAAGGCAGCUCGCUGGGACGGUACUGGACGCUGAGACGCGAAAGCGUGGGGAGCAACAGG